rnacentral:sRNA from 1 species
GCUGGGCAUGGUGGCUCAUGCCUGUAACCCCAGCACCCAGGGAGGCCGAGGCAGGAGAAUCGCUUGAGCCCAAGAGUUCAAGACCAGCUUGGGCAACAUGGCGAGACCCUGUCUCUA